rnacentral:rRNA from 1 species
UGCCAGCCGCCGCGGUAAUACGGAAGGUCCAAGCGUUAAUCGGAAUUACUGGGCGUAAAGCACGCGUAGGUGAUUUAUUAAGUUGGAUGUGAAAUCCCCGGGCUCAACCUGGGAACUGCAUCCAAAACUAAUUCACUAGAGUACGAUAGAGGGAGGUAGAAUUCACAGUGUAGCGGUGGAAUGCGUAGAUAUUGUGAAGAAUACCAAUGGCGAAGGCAGCCUCCUGGAUCUGUACUGACACUGAGGUGCGAAAGCGUGGGUAGCGAACAGGAUUAGAUA